rnacentral:rRNA from 1 species
GAUGAACGCUCGCUACAGGCUUAACACAUGCAAGUCGAGGGGAAACGGCAUCGAAAGCUUGCUUUUGAUGGGCGUCGACCGGCGCACGGGUGAGUAACGCGUAUCCAACCUGCCCAUCACUUGGGAAUAACCUUGCGAAAGUAAGACUAAUGCCCAAUGACAUCCCACGAAGGCAUCCGAAUGGGAUUAAAGAUUUAUCGGUGAUGGAUGGGGAUGCGUCUGAUUAGCUUGUUGGCGGGGUGACGGCCCACCAAGGCAACGAUCAGUAGGGGUUCUGAGAGGAAGGUCCCCCACAUUGGAACUGAGACACGGUCCAAACUCCUACGGGAGGCAGCAGUGAGGAAUAUUGGUCAAUGGGCGAGAGCCUGAACCAGCCAAGUAGCGUGCAGGAUGACGGCCCUAUGGGUUGUAAACUGCUUUUAUAAGGGAAUAAAGUGGGUCACGUGUGACUUUUUGCAUGUACCUUAUGAAUAAGGAUCGGCUAAUUCCGUG